rnacentral:rRNA from 1 species
AACGAACGCUCGCGGCAGGCCUAACACAUGCAAGUCGAGCGGACCUUUCGGGGUCAGCGGCGGACGGGUGAGUAACGCGUGGGAAUAUGCCCUUCUCUACGGAAUAGUCCUGGGAAACUGGGGGUAAUACCGUAUACGCCCUUUGGGGGAAAGAUUUAUCGGGGAAGGAUUAGCCCGCGUUGGAUUAGGUAGUUGGUGGGGUAAUGGCCUACCAAGCCGACGAUCCAUAGCUGGUUUGAGAGGAUGAUCAGCCACACUGGGACUGAGACACGGCCCAGACUCCUACGGGAGGCAGCAGUGGGGAAUCUUAGACAAUGGGGGCAACCCUGAUCUAGCCAUGCCGCGUGAGUGAUGAAGGCCUUAGGGUUGUAAAGCUCUUUCAGCUGGGAAGAUAAUGACGGUACCAGCAGAAGAAGCCCCGGCUAACUCCGUG